GACGAACGCUGGCGGCGUGCUUAACACAUGCAAGUCGAACGGAGUGGCGAACGGGUGAGUAACACGUGGGUGACCUGCCCUGCACUUCGGGAUAAGACGGGGAAACUGGGUAUGAUACCGGAUAGUGUGGGGUGGGCCCGGGGCCUAUAGGCUUGUGGGUGGGGUAAUGGCCUACCACGGCGGCGACGGGUAGCCGGCCUGAGAAGGUGGACGGCCCCAUGGGGACUGAGAGAGGGCCCAGUCGCCUACGGGAGGCAGCAGUGGGGAAUAUUGCACAAUGGGCGGAAGCGUGAUGCAGCGGCGCCGCGUGGGGGAUGACGGCCUUCGGGUUGUAAACUCCUUUCACCAUCGACGCGGUAGCUGGAGAAGAAGCACCGGCUAACUACGUGCCAGCAGCCGCGGUAAUUC
rnacentral:rRNA from 1 species